ensembl:ncRNA F46A9.12 ncRNA
GUAGUCCUUCUGUAUCCCAUUAGUUUCAAAAUAGAGUCUCUCAGCUAACGGGGUUACUGUAUGUUUGAGAAAAAAAACUUACUGUCAUAUGUCGGGAUUUUGUUUUAAAUAUCAC